GCUGGGCGUGGUGGCACACGCCUGUAGUUCCAGCUACUUGGGAGGCUGAGGCAGGAGAAUCACUUGAACCCGGGAGGUGGAGGGUACAGUGAGCCAAAAUCAUGCCACUGCACUCCAGCCUGGGUGAUAGAGUGAGACUCUGUCUCAA
rfam:Pan troglodytes isolate Yerkes chimp pedigree #C0471 (Clint) chromosome 17, whole genome shotgun sequence.